AACGCGAAGAACCUUACCUAGGUUUGACAUGCAGGGAAAAGCCGUAGAGAUACGGUGUCCGUAAGGGUCCUGCACAGGUGGUGCAUGGCUGUCGUCAGCUCGUGUCGUGAGAUGUUGGGUUAAGUCCCGCAACGAGCGCAACCCUCGUUCUAUGUUGCCAGCGGUUCGGCCGGGAACUCAUAGGAGACUGCCGGGGUCAACUCGGAGGAAGGUGGGGAUGACGUCAAGUCCUCAUGCCCCUUAUAUCUAGGGCUGCAAACAUGCUACAAUGGCCGGUACAGAGGGCUGCGAGACCGCAAGGUGGAGCGAAUCUCAAAAAGCCGGUCUCAGUUCGGAUUGGGGUCUGCAACUCGACCCCAUGAAGUCGGAGUCGCUAGUAAUCGCGAAUCAGCAACGUCGCGGUGAAUACGUUCCCGGGCCUUGUA
rnacentral:rRNA from 1 species